UGGGGAAUCUUGGACAAUGGGCGAAAGCCUGACGCAGCAACGCCGCGUGAGUGAUGAAGGCCUUCGGGUCGUAAAGCUCUGUCGGAGGGAACGAAUGCUCCUGAAGUUAACAGCUUCAGGAUGUGACGGUACCCUCAAAGGAAGCACCGGCUAACUCUGUGCCAGCAGCCGCGGUAAUACAGAGGGUGCAAGCGUUAAUCGGAAUUACUGGGCGUAAAGCGCGCGUAGGUGGUUAGUUAAGUUGGAUGUGAAAUCCCCGGGCUCAACCUGGGAACUGCAUUCAAAACUGACUGACUAGAGUAUGGUAGAGGGUGGUGGAAUUUCCUGUGUAGCGGUGAAAUGCGUAGAUAUAGGAAGGAACACCAGUGGCGAAGGCGACCACCUGGACUGAUACUGACACUGAGGUGCGAAAGCGUGGGGAGCAAACAGGAUUAGAUACCCUAGUAGUCCCUGAGCGGGCUGGCAAGGCGCAU
rnacentral:rRNA from 1 species